ACGGAAGGCAGCAGUGGGGAAUAUUGGGCAAUGGGGGGAACCCUGACCCAGCAACGCCGCGUGGAGGAAGAAGGUCUUCGGAUCGUAAACUCCUGUCCUCAAAGACGAGAAGAAGACGGUAUUUGAGGAGGGAGCCCCGGCUAACUACGUGCCAGCGGCCGCGGUAAUACGUAUGGAGCAAGCGUUAUCCGGAUUUACUGGGUGUAAAGGGAGCGUAGACGGCAAAGCAAGUCUGAAGUGAAAUCCCGGGGCUCAACCCCGGAACUGCUUUGGAAACUGUUUAGCUAGAGUGCAGGAGAGGUAAGCGGAAUUCCUAGUGUAGCGGUGAAAUGCGUAGAUAUUAGGAGGAACACCAGUGGCGAAGGCGGCUUACUGGACUGUAACUGACGUUGAGGCUCGAAAGCGUGGGGAGCAAACAGGAUUAGAUACCCUGGUA
rnacentral:rRNA from 1 species